rnacentral:lncRNA from 1 species
AUAUGUUUUCAACUCGAAAAUGGUGCGAAAACAAACUUCAAAGGUUCAAUUCUACUGAAAUUGCAGAAUUCGCACUUAAUACCGAAACUAAAUAAUAAUACCAGUACUAAGUAGCGUAGAGAGGAAACCCACAUUCGGGUUUUGUAGGAUUCUUCUUGAGUACCAGUACUAAUUCACCGAGUACUAGUACUGAUUUUGGGUUAGUACCAAU